GCUGAGGAGUCCCACAAUAGGACGAAACGAUCGUCC
rfam:Schistosoma haematobium scaffold416_41, whole genome shotgun sequence.